GCUUUGAGAAGAAGAGAUGGAAGGUGGAGGUGGGAACAUGACGCUAGGAGGAUAAGGCGUGGGCGUCACAAGAAGUGGGUUGGAGCAAGAAGUAGAGCAGGCAAUGCCCCUCUCUACAUUGGCAUCUACACAGCCAAAUCAAGGACUUAAACUCCUGGAACGGCUCCUCCUAUCCCCUGCUCCUCUCGGAUUGGCGCAAGUCCGCCUCCUCCCCCGCCUCCCUCUCCACGCGUGCAGCAGCGACCCAGGAGGAGCUCGAGCCGCAGUGGUGGUCCAUGGCACCUUCGUCGUCGUCCCCGGCUGGAGAAGCAUGGGCCGCAGAGACGGCCGGAUCUGUCCGGCCCUCGCGCUAUCGUUCGUUCACUCUCAAGGAUAAUGUGUUUGUUCAGCUGAUUUGUAUAGUUCCAAUACCGGGUUGUUAAGGAAAAUCCAGAUGAUGCAUUCUACGAGUUGGAGACCCCCCAACAACAAAUUCAGUCAGACGUCUUUGAUGGACUUAAGAGAGAUGCUGAUACUAUGAGGUGAAAUGCUCAUUUACUUAAGAGAAACGUUCACAAGGAUGACUGACCGUGUGCGGCACUGACCUCGAUGGCGUGCCGCAUCAUUUCUGCCCGACCUCAAUGUUUACCUCGUCACCCACGGCCAGAUGGUCGAAGACAUCCCGACGAAGCAGCACAUGCUUGUCCCUUCUUUCGUUGGCGGCGGGAGAAAGAGGAUCCACCCGCUCCCUUAUGCUGAUUCGAGCCUUCCUUGUGAGUUGGCUCCAAUUUUUUGCUCUUUUGUAUGUGGGUGUACAUACCCGAGGUGAGAAAAUAAGUUCAGAUUACACUAAGGUGGAUCUCUCGAUUAAUAUGCAACUUUUUUAUGAAUAAAAGUUCUGAUAUUGUAGUAAGCUUAUGUGUGAUUUAGUAUAGAAUUAUGCUUUCAAGGUUGUACUAAUAGAUGACCUUCGCCAUUCUCUAAUUUUCCCUAGCAUGGAUUGCCUACUCUACAAGAUAAAGUGUCGGUUUAUGAGGAUAUUUUCCAAAAAGAGUUGUUAGGGUAUGAUGUACUCGAUUGAUCUAUGAGAUGACCUGCUUGGUGGUGAAGGUUUUUUACAUCUGCUGAGGUAACCAUCUACUGACUAUAUCUUCUAAUUUUUGCUUUUUGAGUCCUAUGAAAUGGUGUAAGUGAAUUCAUUAUAAGUGGAAAUUGUGGUUGGAUCAUGUUAAGGACUUAUGUCUUCUGUAACUGAUUUUGGCGAAGAAGAACAACUGCAUUUUUUUCUCUAGCUUUUGAACGUUGAAUACUUUGGUCCUCCUAUAGGUGCUUCUUUCUCAUGUGUGUACGUGUUAUAUUUAUGAGGUUGCUAUGGGUUUGAAGUGGUUGUGAUCUAUACUUGAAGAUCCAUUAACUGGACUAGGCUUUCUGAAUUCUGAUAGAAUGAGAAGCCUGCAGUAAAUAUCCAAAUGUUCCUCUACCAUCACAGCUUGAGUUAAUAUAAUAGUUAAUAUAUAAGGAUUUACAAUGUUUUAACCCUGACCAAUAUGUGGUAAAGAUAAUAAUACCAGCACUUUUAGUUGAGCGAAAUCUAAGACCACAAUUACAUCGAGGUGUUGCAUGUAUGAUGUAUCUCAGUUCAUGUUCUUCAACAUUUAAGUGUUUUGGAUGAUCAUGCCUUGUUUCUAUGGAUUGCCAUUUUAUCCAACGAGAAUAGUGAAACAUCAAAUUUAGUUAACCAUCUCAUAUUUGCAUUUGCUUUGUGAUGUUUCCAUUCUACCUAUAAUAUUUGAAAUAAGAUCUUUUAUUGCUCACUGGGAACAAGCAUCACUUUCUUGUAAUAUCUUUAUCUUCCUUGAGUUUUUCCGUGAGUUUGUGCUACUCUGCCAAGGAGCUCCAGCAAGCAUGUGUGCCUGCUCUCCUUGCUCCUGAGCUCUUGUACCAGCAACAAAGGCUCGUGUGUGGUAUCAGCAAGAGAUUAGUGUCGAUUUUUUCGAGUUAUUGGGACACCUGAGAACUAGCAGUACCACAUAAAAAAGUCUGAAGUUAGGCAUUUUUAAAUCUAGACAGGUCGUGCUUCAUUUUGACUAACUACUACCAUCUCCGAGUCUAUAUCUAAGUGUUAUUCUUUAUUAGAUGCCACUAAUUCCUUUUGCACUGCAUGAUAUGUAGUUUAGUUUCCUCAAAUCUUAAGGCUUUAAUAUUGAUGCUGCCAUCAAAUUGACUUUCCGAGUAUACUAAAAUUUGGAAUUAUUACUUGCAAUUAUUAUACAAAGAAAUUAUGAAAGGAAAAUUUAUUUAUUUAAAAAUUUCUUUAAUUCCAAAUGGCAUUGUACUUACUAUGUAUUUUUGAACUGAAAAGGGAGUUUCCAUGUUGCUGAGGAUGGUCCACUUCUUUGCUUAGAAUUCCAAAUUUAAAUCUCGCCGGCGCCGGCUAGAUGGAUCGUGCUGGUAUAUUAUAAUAUGGUCAUUAGCGCAUUGUUGUCUUCAAGUUAAGCUAAAUGACAGCCAGAGCAACUUCCUUUAUUUCUUGAGAAUUCUACUGAUCAUGCUGUAUCUUGUCAACUUUUUCCUCUGGACGUUGGAUCAAUUGUACAUAUUAAACGACUGGUUCCGUUCGUAGUUCUUGAGCCCACUCUUCUCAUACCAUCGGACAUCAACUGCCGCCACUCGCACUUGUCGUGCUGCCUCUUGAUGAGAUGAACACUCCUAUAUCUGCAUUCAAAGGAAAAGGGCACACCCAGCAAAUCACCAUGCCCAAAAUGUGCUCGCCGCAAACUUUUUACUGAGCCCUCAAAGCCUAAGGACACUGAACUCUCUGCCUCUGCUGCCAAGGUGGCUAGCCAGGCUGAACAAGGUGCUCCUGGUGGAAAUGUUGUUGAAGCUACAUCUGUGCCAAAUGUCAGUCAAGAAACUGAGCUUAUAGCUACUGAAGAUCCAAAGAACAACCUUCCUGACCACACUAAUUUCAAGAGGACAAACACUGCUGUCAAGCCAGCUGGCGCUCCAAAGAAAGCGAAGCAGUAGUUCUUCCAUGGACUAGGCUAGAUAUGUACAUACGGUGCAACUGGCGCUUCUUGAGUUCCAUUUUUCCUACAGGCAUGCCAGAUGAUAUGUCGCAAUAUGAUGAUAACUCUGAAUCCUCUUCUUUCUCAGGAUAUCUUCUAUGUUCUGCUUGCUUAUCAAGCGAAAUUCACCGUUAGAAGGGUGUUUUGCCGAAAAGAGCUUCUCAGCUCUGCUGCGUCACAGCAACGGUCUGGCCAUCGGGUCUGAAGAUCGUCAACUCAGCACACUUUUGGGCGUGCACCAGGUUUAUUUUGUGCAACUUUGUAAGACAAGGCUUUGACACUCGCAUAACUAUGUCGGGCCACUGUCAUGAUAAUUCCUCUAUUUAGGUCCUCGAACAAAUCAAGUACUAUGCGUUGUAAAUAUCACCAUCGGCCCUUUCUGACUUAUCUCCCUCCUUAUGACAAUUUCAACCUUCUGUAAAUGCCGCUGGGCCAUGCUGCUUAAUCUAAGUCUUUUCGUUCUUGUUA